rnacentral:rRNA from 1 species
CCUUUGUCAUCACACCAUUGUUGCUUCGGCGGGCCCGUCGUCACAGGCCGCCGGAGGACCGACUCUCGGUCCUCUGGCCCGCGCCCGCCGAUAGCCAAACUUAUCAAAACUCUUGAAUAAAAUCGUGUCUACAAUGUCUGAAUACCAUAUUAAAAUUAAAGCAAAACUUUCAACAACGGAUCUCUUGGUUCUGGCAUCGAUGAAGAACGCAGCGAAAUGCGAUAAGUAAUGCGAAUUGCAGAAUUCCAGUGAGUCAUCGAAUCUUUGAACGCACAUUGCGCCCUUUGGUAUUCCGAAGGGCAUGCCUGUUCGAGCGUCAUUUAUCACCCCUCAAGCCUUCCGGCUUGGUGUUGGACGGUCUGGUCGAGCCUGCCUCGACCCCUCCCAAAGACAAUGACGGCGGCCUGGUUGGACCCCCGGUACAUGGAGCUUCUUCAUUGAGCACGUAUCGGUUUCAAGGCGUCCCCGGGACCCGGUCUCCUCCCUCCCGUCCGCGGAAGGGAGACCCCCCCUUUUUUCUAAGGUUGACCUCGGAUCAGGUAGGAAUACCCGCUGAACUUAAGCAUAUCAAUAAGCGGAGGA